UGCUAAUUCGCCAUACAAGAUGCUUAGCUUUUGAAGGUGCAUGAAUUGUUCAGAGGCUGCGCCAAUCUUCAUGUUGUGAGUGCACAUCUACCUUCCCUGUAGUAUUCAACAUACAUUUAUAUCCACUUUUAACACUAUAAUGGCCAUGAGUGCUAUCGAUCAAAAUUAAUUUAUCUUCCUCAACCGACUCAAAUAACGGAAUCUCAAGAAUGUUAUUAGAAACAUGCAAAGAAAAUAAAGACUCAAUUUUCUCUUUAUC
rnacentral:lncRNA from 1 species